rnacentral:rRNA from 1 species
UACGAACUGUGCGAACGUUAUUCGGAAUCACUGGGCUUACAGGGUGCGUAGGCGGCUUAGCAAGUCAGGUGUGAAAGCCCCCGGCUCAACCGGGGAACUGCGCUUGAAACUGCUGAGCUCGAGUCAGCUAGAGGUACACGGAACUUCCAGUGGAGCGGUGAAAUGUGUUGAUAUUGGAAGGAACACCGGAGGCGAAAGCGGUGUACUGGGGCUGGUCUGACGCUGAGGCACGAAAGCCAGGGGAGCGAACGGGAUUAGAUACCCUUUAGUCC